rnacentral:rRNA from 1 species
CCCUUAGAUGUUCUGGGCCGCACGCGAGCUACACUGACGAAGUCAGCGAGCAUGUCCUACGCCGACAGGUGCGGGGAAUCUUGUCAAACUUCGUCGUGAUGGGGAUUGAUUAUUGAAAUUCUUGAUCAUCAACGAGGAAUUCCUAGUAAGCGCAAGUCAGCAGCUUGCGUUGAUUACGUCCCUGCCCUUUGUACACACCGCCCGUCGCUACUACCGAUUGAAUGGUUUAGUGAGAUCUUCGGAUUGGCGCCACUGCGGCUCAGCAAUGGGCUCGGUGGAUGCCGAAAAGUUGAUCAAACUUGAUCAUUUAGAGGAAGUAAAAGUCGUAACA